CGGGGUGCAGCAGGCGCGAAACCUUUACACUGCACGCCAGUGCGAUAAGGGGAUCCCAAGUGCGUAGGCAUAGAGCCUACGCUUUUGUCCACCCUAGGGUGGUGGACGAAUAAGGGCUGGGCAAGACCGGUGCCAGCCGCCGCGGUAACACCGGCAGCCCGAGUGAUGGCCGAUAUUAUUGGGCCUAAAGCGUCCGUAGCUGGCCGCGUAGGUCCGUCGGGAAAUCUACUGGCUUAACCAGUAGGCGUCCGGCGGAAACCUCGUGGCUUGGGACCGGAAGACCUGAGGGGUACGUCUGGGGUAGGAGUGAAAUCCCGUAAUCCUGGACGGACCACCGGUGGCGAAAGCGCCUCAGGAAGACGGACCCGACAGUGAGGGACGAAAGCUAGGGUCUCGAACCGGAUUAGAUACCCGGGUAGUCCUAGCCGUAAACGAUGCUCGUUAGGUGUGGCGCAGGCUACGAGCCUGCGCUGUGCCGUAGGGAAGCCGAGAAACGAGCCGCCUGGGAAGUACGUCCGCAAGGAUGAAACUUAAAGGAAUU
rnacentral:rRNA from 1 species